rnacentral:rRNA from 1 species
UACGUAGGGUGCUAACGUUGUUCGGAAUCACUGGGCAUAAAGAGCGCGUAGGCGGCUUGGUAUGUCGGGUGUGAAAUCCCCGGGCUCAACCUGGGAACUGCAUCCGAAACUGCCUUGCUAGAGUAUGGGAGAGGGAAGUGGAAUUUCCGGUGUAGCGGUGAAAUGCGUAGAUAUCGGAAGGAACAUCAGUGGCGAAGGCGACUUCCUGGACCAAUACUGACGCUCAGGUGCGAAAGCGUGGGGAGCAAACAGG